CUAUUUGUUUUCUUUAUUUGCUUCUCAUGCUUGUGUACAUUUGCAGUAGGAAAAGAUAAUCUAUGAAUCCAGUGAUAUAUCCUUCUUAUAAGAAAUGUUUCUGUUAAAAUAUUAUUGUGAAGUAGUCACUUCCUGUGAGUUGCGGGAACCGGAAGUUGUGCGCGGGAGAGACAAGACAGAACGGUAACACGGCGGACUUUUCGGAAUGUACAACUUUUCUACUGCUGGUUUUACAAGGCGUACACGUUUUCACGGUGCUCCAUGAUUGUGAGAGGAAUAAAAGAAUUGUGGACAUCAGUACGAAGCGUGGAUUCUUUCGACCAGAGUAGAUAUAGUGAAAACGUGUCCCAAUCCAUCUGGAGGCUUCGGUGUGCAAAGCUCUUCUCAUCCUGCAGCAAGCUACAGGUCUCGGUUUGCAACGCGCUUCUCCUCCUGCAGCAAGCUACAGGCUUCGGUGUGCAAAGCUCUUCUCAUCCUGCAGCAAGCUACAGGCUUCAGUGGACACGUUGCUUUGCAUUUUGUGACAACCAAUCGGGAGCUGCAGAUUCA